rnacentral:rRNA from 1 species
UACGGAGGGUGCGAGCGUUGUCCGGAAUCACUGGGCGUAAAGGGCGCGUAGGUGGCUUGGUCAGCGUGUGGUGAAAGCUCGGGGCUCAACCCCGAGUCGGCCAUGCGAACUGCCGAGCUUGAGCACUGUAGAGGCAGACGGAAUUCCGGGUGUAGCGGUGGAAUGCGUAGAGAUCCGGAAGAACACCGGUGGCGAAGGCGGUCUGCUGGGCAGUUGCUGACACUGAGGCGCGACAGCGUGGGGAGCAAACAGGAUUAGAUACCCUGUAGUCC